rnacentral:rRNA from 1 species
AGUGACGUACGGGUGCGUAACACGUAUGCAACCUACCUUGUACAGGGGUAUAGCUCGGGGAAACUCGAAUUAACACCCCAUAACAUAAUGAUGUGGCAUCACAUUAUUAUUAAAACUCCGGUGGUACAAGAUGGGCAUGCGUCUGAUUAGUUAGUUGGCGGGGUAAUGGCCCACCAAGACGAUGAUCAGUAGGGGACCUGAGAGGGUGAUCCCCCACACUGGCACUGAGAUACGGGCCAGACUCCUACGGGAGGCAGCAGUAGGGAAUAUUGGUCAAUGGAUGCAAGUCUGAACCAGCCAUGCCGCGUGCAGGAAGAAGGCGUUAUGCGUUGUAAACUGCUUUUGCCAGGGGAUAAAAUAACUGUGCGCAGUUAAUUGAAGGUACCUGGUGAAUAAGCCACGGCUAACUACGUGCCAGCAGCCGCGGUAAUACGUAGGUGGCAAGCGUUGUCCGGAUUUAUUGGGUUUAAAGGGUGCGUAGGUGGCCCUGUAAGUCAGUGGUGUAAUAUCUCAGCUUAACUGAGAGGGUGCCAUUGAUACUGCAGGGCUUGAGUACAGAUGAGGUAGGCGGAAUUGACGGUGUAGCGGUGAAAUGCAUAGAUAUCGUCAAGAACACCGAUAGCGAAGGCAGCUUACCAAGCUGUAACUGACACUGAGGCACGAAAGUGUGGGGAUCAAACAGGAUUAGAUACCCUGGUAGUCCACACUGU